GAGAGAGGCUCCCCCGCCCCCCCUUAAAGCUUGACAGAUGACUUAGCCAGAAAUGAACAUGUACCCUUUCAAAAGAGCUUCUUCCCCGUUCACAACUGCCCCACCGAACCGAUCUCCCUCAGCCUCAUCCGGAGCUCCCUCUGCCCCCGCCGCCCAGCCCGGCUCCCUUCCCCGGCCCCUUACCCCGGCUCGGAGCCUGAGAUUGUCCCAGCAUGAGUGACAUUGGCUUUCCUAAUGUAAUGACUUAUGAAAGAUAUAAUCAUGUGUUAAAUUGAAUCCUCCGCUUAACUGUUAAUGGUGUGCUCUGGGCACAUUUACGUAUUAGAUGCUAUGGUAACUAAUUACCACUAGAAGAAGGGAUAAUACACUUUCCAGACUUUGACAAAUAAUUAUGAGUGUUCACAUCCCUGCUAGCAGCAGUUGCAGCGGAUCUGCUGGAAUGAGUAAAUGAAUAAAUGAAUGGGCUUCAUCUUCAUUUUUGGGUGGGGACAGCCAGCAGAGCUCCCCUGAAUGUAAUUUUCAUUCCCACGGCUCCAGCGUUCAUCCCAGUGACUAUACCUUACUCCUGCUGACUCCAACAUGCUCCACACCUCCUCUCACUGAGGCUGGCAGAGCUCCUACACAACGAAAUGCUGUCCUGCACCAAGGAGACACUUGAAUCUCAUCUUUUCUUUGCAACCUCUCGUCUUUAAAUUCCUGGAAGGGAGAGCUUCAGAGAGCAAUGUCUCUAACACGGGCUUUCUAUAAACAUGUAAAAAAAUCCAGUUCCUUUCUUCUUUGCCUCAAAUGCCAAGGAUGGAAAUCAGUAUGGCUGGGAGACAGCCAUUUGCUUAGAAAAAUAGGGGUGAGGAAUGGAUGAGGUAAAAAGCUCUUGCCUCUCAGGCAGACGAGCCAUUUAAUAGCGUCAGCGUGCACCCUUGCCCUUUCUUGCUCUUCCUCUGUGCCACCCUGGGCUGGGGACAGCAAUCUGGGGAGCAACCUAGCUGAGAAGAGGACUAUUCAAUUUGCAUUCAGGUGGUGAACUUCUGAAGCUGUAUUACAGCUGAGGCAGGGUGGAUUAAUUUCGAGUCUUUGAUAUUCAUUAACUUGAGCGUCAGAGAAAAAUACAAGGAGAUGACACAAUUACCCUCCGAGCUUCGCUGCAGAGCAACAGCUUUACAGUCUCAAGUUCACAACACUCUAAUUGAUCAAGAAGGGGUGAAUCCCUACGAAGGGAGGUGAAAAAGCAUAAGGCUCAAGUAAGACACUGCUAUUAUAGGGCUUCAGAGAGUCAAUGAUGCUUUGCGGGCACUUAGCUAAAUGGCCCACAUUAUUUGCUAUUUAAACCACCUUCUAUUAUUCAGCCCUCCUUGGGUAUCAAAUGAUCCACUGCCAAACAAAGCCCACAUUUAGCCUAAAGUUUAUGGUAGUCAAUGUGCAACUGUCAAUUCCUUUGAAAGCAGUCACAGUCAGUCUCAUCACCAUAUUUCUCUCUUCAGGCCGUGAAUCCUUUGACCUGCAGGGCCCUAGAAAAUACAUCUGAAACUAGGAAGAUUUGUUCCACAAGAAGGAACAGCAGUAAAAAAAACAAACCAACAACCCACAGAUCACAAAAGGCUUGGCUGCUUCGAAGUGCCUGGAGUAGGAAGAGUAGCACCAGCUGAAUGUUUACCUUAGGAUCUUCAUAGACCUCAGGGUCCAUGUGCAAAAUCUGCGGGUAAAGGGCUAUCCAGUCUCCUUUCCUCAAAACGACUUCUUGAUUCCCUUCAAGCUUGAGAACAAAAUCCUCUUGGCUGAUGCGGAUGUUCAUGGAGGACGAGCACAUUCUUAAACUCUCGUUUAAGGCACUCUCUGCGAUUAAACAAAACGGGGGAGGGGGGAGGCAUCAGAAAUAUGGGAGAUGACUGGAAGUUAUACAUGGCUACAGCUGCUGAUUCUCCAGGAGUUUAGUAGGGCAGGCUAAAGGAAAAAAAAAAGGAAAAAACCACACAAACAAAGCCAAACAAAAAGCAGAGACCAGGAGGAGGCAAUAAACAACCCCGCAGGGUUGGGGUGGACCAGUCAGGAUGCUGAACCUCCCAACGUGAUUCUCACUGAUGGUGAUGAGAAAUCCUGUCAGCUGUAAGGAGCACCAAGUUUUGGGUGGAAAGUCAUUAUUCAGGCAUCAUGUUGAAAACAACACAAUCAAAAGACAUGAACACUUUAUGCGUUUACAUAUAUUUUGGUGGUUGCAAACAAAUACCAGCGAGAGCAUCCAUGGAGCUGUUUAGCUUGCCUUUUGAAAGCUGUUGGAUGUAAUGGAUUUCUAAUGUACAUUAGAAAUCAUUCUGCUUGUUAAUUCUGUAGUUAUUCUGAGAAUUUUCAAAUGUAUUUUCUUUUCAAUGCACUAUGCUGCCAAAUGAUAGUGUCUGUUGUGGUCAGAGUGAAUGAAAGCAAUUCAUUAUUUGCCUGGUAAUUUUAAGAGAGAAAGACACUUCUAAUUGGCCUAGAGGAAACAAAACAUAGUCCUUUCAGGUUUGGGGAAAGCAAGAUUUCUGUCUCCACCAUCACAUCCCGGAAGGCUCCAGAAGCUGAAUGUCCUUGCUUUCCCAGUGGCCUUCACCUUUUGCUCCUAGCACGACAGAUUUUAUGGCUAAUUUCCGGCAAUUUAUCCUGGCAGUUUGAGGAGGAAUUCCUUUGGGAAUAAUAUGCAUAAUUUGCAUAAAUCAUUCUGAUAGCAUGUAUAUCAGCAUGUAGCUCCUGUCUAGGGCUGCAUCUCUCACUUUGUAAUCAAAACUGACUAUUUUUCCACCAGCGUGUAUGGGCACUGUUAUAUGUGACUUGAUUCCUUCUAAUCAUUAGUGUGAAAAAUAGCCUAAAAUAGGGUUUCAUUUGCAUGUAAUAAUCCAUUUGUGUCUUCAUUUAUGUUUUGUGAUAUCAAAUAAGCCUUCUCUAAGUGUUCACCAAGGCACUGCAAUUGCUGCACCCAAAAGGUUAGUUUAUUAGAGACAGUAGCUACCCAGUGCAGAUGCCUCUGAAAAAAAUAAUAACAAACGUUCUUUCACUAAAAAUUAAAUCUGGUGCAGCAUGCAUAGCAAAUAAAGUGGCCCUGGAUGCUUUCUUGCAGGAGGUUUUUCCUUAAGCAUGCAUUUGUCUAAAGAAAUGAAGCUGCGGUCAGCUUUGUGUGGCCAGCGCUGUGAUUCAAUGUGACGUACAGUGAGUCUGUGCAUAUUCUUUUGGACUGCCUUCGUUACUAUAAUCAGGCAGAGUCAAAUCGGCUUGUUGGUGACGAAGCCAGAAAAGAACCCUGGUUCCAGAAGAUGGCCUCUACUGCGGAUAGCCACAAGGCACCUGACACGAUAGAUUUCAACUGGCAGUGCUCUGGCAACAAAACUUUAUGCGGUACAAAGGAAGGGUCCAGCCUCCACUCCAGCCUGCCUUCAACCCGCGGAAAAUGAAGCUGGUAGCUUCAUACCAGUCCACCAUUUGGAAAUGGUGGUGACAUAUGUAGAGACAGCAGAAAUCAAAUGAGGAAGAGGGAAGAAGGGAAAAAAAAAGAGAAAUAAUUAUUAAAGUGCCAUGGCAAAAUAGCAGGUUUACAUUUAACCACCCAAGCAAUGCGGUCACAUCCUAUCGGUGGACAUCCUCCCAGAAAGCGCAGCAGUCCCUGCCUGCUGCCGGAUCUCAAAUGACAAUUGGGCAGCAUAUCUUAUGCAGAAGUUAAUCACAAUAAUGGAGCACAAAGUGUGGCUUAGCGGUCAGAUCGUAAAUGACAAAUCUGUUUUACCUUCCAGUACCAGUUAUGUGUGGAAGGCGAGCUUGGCUCUCGCUCUGAGCGAUCAUGCCGAUAAUCAUUAGAUGACAAAAGUAAUGAGUCACAUUAUGAUCAACAAAGGAGAAUGGAGCUUAUAUGGCUUUGCAGGCUCACAUUAAAAAAAUAGACAGUCAGCUUUCCACAAAUGCCAGAGCUAUACAUUGAGAGGAAUGACAACUGCACAAUAAAACUGCAGCCUUUACUUGCAGUUGUCAUAGUUCAGCAGACACCAGCCAUUGCUGCUGACAGACCAGCUGGGUAGCCUGGGAGGCCUUCCAUUCUGCACUGUGAGGUACAGUAAAUUAUCCAGCACGGUAGAGCAACAUCUGUUUCUGUGCUUGUGCCGAACAAACAAGGCAAUUUAAAGCAUACCAAGGGAUAACCAAGCAGCAAAUGAACAUGACCCUCAUUUUUUCCCCCCUUCUUACACACAUGAGAUGCUAAACUUCACUGUGCAAGUGCUACAUAAAGAAGCCAGGCUGUUGUUUGAUAAGGUGUUGUCAGAGAGAUUUUACAUAUUUUCUAGAGAGAGAGAAGGAGGGGGGAAGAGAGAGAUAUUUCUCAUAGUAUUGUUAUUCUUAGAAUCCUCCCACUUCUCUCUUCAUUUCUCUUAUACUAAAGCUAGCACUCAGCUUCCAAUUCAUUCUAGACUUUUUUUUUAAAAAACUGUUUCAAUAUACUUAUAAAUAUUCAGUCUUUAAACCCUAAUUUGCUAUACUUAGUUCACAUGCCUUCAAGCAUUUGUCUUCCAAUUUCCACUGAAUAAAUGCGUACUAAUGAGAAAUAGAGCAAGCUGCUGAGGCAAAGCUGGGUGACUUGAGCCUGGCCUGCCACCAGCUUGUGAUAGGCAGGCAAAUUGAGUUAAAAUGAAAAGUCUUGUCAGCUGAAAUACAACAUGGUAGCCAAACAGCAAGCUGUCAAUCAUCCAGCCAAAACAAGGGACUGCAGGUAAUAAAAGGUCAUUGCGAAUCAUAAGUGCAUUUGGCUUUAGUAGGCAAGUUAAUUUUAAUUAAACAUGAUCUCUAUCUGUAAAUGUUUUAUAAAACUUAUUGUGUAAUAAUGGAUUGUUAAUUUUACACUAAUACAGAGCAGGUAAUAGGGUACAAUAAUUAUUAGAGUGUAUUGUAGGAAAAUAGCUAUUGAGUAUGCAAAUAUUUGGGGGGGUCAUUUACCCACGGGCAUCUUGGUGUGCCAACACAAACGAUAAUCUGAAACAAGUACAUUUGCAUCUUACUAAGAACUAAAUGGCACUGCCCAGACCAUUCCAGAAAAAUAUAUUUAUUUCUUUCAAUUCAACCAAUGAUUUUAAUGCUUAGCAUUUGUGUUAUGACUACAUACUCUGUAUUAGGUCUUUUUGGGUGCCUACCCUUUCUUGUGCACGAAAUAAUUUUUCAAGCUGUGCUCUUUUUGCAGGAAUAUCUGGGAUUCAGCAAUGACCUGGAGCAAGAAUACUUCACCAUAUAAAUGAAUGGACUAAUAUUAAACAAACGAACUGACUAAACAUGCCUAGCAUUAAACAUGCACUAAGUACAUCUCUGCUUUACCCUUGGCUUUUCCAUUAUAACCAGUUUAAUUGACAGACCAUUUUCAUGUGUCCUUUACCAUAUGAGAGUUCUGUUGUGAUCUACAAUGUCUAAUAAUGUAUGUUACUCUGUGUGCACAAAUACACACGUUUGGAUUUUGGGA